GACGAACGCUGGCGGCGUGCUUAACACAUGCAAGUCGAACGGAAAGGCCUCUUUCGGGGGGUACUCGAGUGGCGAACGGGUGAGUAACACGUGAGUAACCUGCCCUUGACUUUGGGAUAACUUCAGGAAACCGGGGCUAAUACCGGAUAGGAGCCCCUGCUGCAUGGUGGGGGUUGGAAAGUUUCGGCGGUUGGGGGUGGACUCGCGGCUUAUCAGCUUGUUGGUGGGGUAGUGGCUUACCAAGGCUUUGGCGGGUAGCCGGCCUGAGAGGGUGACCCGCCACAUUGAGACUGAGAAGCGGCCGAGACUCCUGCGGGAGGGAACAGUGGGGAAUAUUGCACAAUAGGUGGAAGCCGGAUGAAGGAAAGCCGUGAGCGGGAUGACGGCCUUGGGAUUGAGAACCGCGUUCGCUCAUGACGAAGCUUUGUGUGACGGUAGUGAGUAAAGAAGCACCGGCUAACUACGUG
rnacentral:rRNA from 1 species